rnacentral:rRNA from 1 species
GACGAACGCUGGCGGCGUGCCUAACACAUGCAAGUCGAACGGAAAGGCCCUGCGUUUGUGGCGUGCUCGAGUGGCGAACGGGUGAGUAACACGUGAGUAACCUGCCCUUGACAUAGGGAUAACUUCUGGAAACUGGGGCUAAUACCGGAUAGGAGCUCCUGCUGCAUGGUGGGGGAUGGAAAGAUUCGGCGGUUGGGGCUGGACUCGCGGCUUAUCAGCUUGUUGGUGGGGUAGUGGCUUACCAAGGCUUUGACGGGUAGCCGGCCUGAGAGGGUGACCGGCCACAUUGGGACUGAGAUACGGCCCAGACUCCUACGUGAGGCAGCAGUGGGGAAUAUUGCACAACGGGCGGGAGCGAGAUGCAAAAACGCCCGGUGCGGGAGACCGGGCUUCGAGUGGUAAACAAAUUUCGCCUGUAACAGGGCGUGAGUGACGGUAAUGGGUAAAAAAGCUCCGGCUAACUACGUG